rnacentral:tRNA from 1 species
AGCCCCGAGGUGUUUAACACAUUAGAUUGCAAAUCUUAAGUGGCGGAUUGACGUCUGCCGGGGCUU